GUUGAAUCAAAUCUCAGCUAUUUGGGACAGCAUUCCUUGAAAACUCUUGUGAAACCCACACCAACAGUUUUGGGUUUACAGAUGAUAAAGGAAUGAGUUUAUGUUAUAUUGCACAUAUUCAGGCAGCUGCCGUUUUUAUCUCCUAUUUUUUUUUUAGUGAUGAGCUGAUUUACUGCAAAAGUGGUGAAAAGCACGUCUUAAAUGGGUCUUAAAUGUUAACAUGCACUGAAUGUAAAACUUGCAGCCUCUGCAGCCAAUGAAAUCUACAGACACUCUACGUCACCGAUGCAACAAACAGGUGCUGUGUGGGAACGUGGGAGUCGGUCUGCCAUUCACAACUUCCUCAAGACAGCACCGAGUCCCGAGCCUCUGAAUGAAAGACGAACCGGGAUAGAAUAAAUAUCGCUCAAUAAAACCUUUAAAUCGAGCAAAAAAGUGACAUAAAGGCUGUCAAACUGAAGUGUACUCGUAAACACUUCCGACAGUGGAGCCGAACUGAGCUGCUCACCAACACAUUCUCGCAGCCGGAGAGAGUGAGGCUGCGAGUAUUUAUAGAUAUUUCAUCUUCAUGUGGCGUAGCUAGUAGCGUUUGUAGUCACGUACAGGCAAAUACAGACAUGUUUGCUACAGGCUACCAGCCGUUGUCCGACGGCAGCUCCUCACCAUCCCCUUUACGGCCUAGCAAACACACAAGCACCGACCUCGAGUUACAGCACGACGCUUCCCUCACGCCCGCCAUUUAGAGCGUGGCGCAGGAGGAGCAGCAAAUUACACCCCGUGUCAAGCAGCCGAAGUUCGCAGAUGAUGCUUCUGAAUAAUCCGUUAACCACCACACCUCCUGCUUGGGGAAAAAGACACCGAAGCGACGUAUGUGCGGAAAAAAGCAACUUAUCGGUGGCGUGUGUUUGUAAAAAAUAAACAAUUCAAGCUGUGUGAGCUGCAAAGUGAAAAUCUCCCCGAGAGAGGAAAACAAUCUCCGUUCGGUUAGCUGUGGAGGGAGGCGUGGUUUUUUAUAUAUAACCCCGCCCCCGGCACACGCUAUUGGACAGUUCGUCCGGAGGAUCCGCAGAAGGGCGGGGCGACGGAUCCUGAUUGUGAGUUUGAGCUGUCAAUCAAGGACUUAUCGUACAUUUACCCAGCACGCCCAUUUUGAGUUGAAGCGCGACAAUGCCAGUGAGCGGAGAGGAGAAGAGAGGAGUUCCCACUAGUAUGUAUGGUGAGAAAUUGCUGUAUGAAACACGUUAACGUUUAAUAAACACAUCAAAACUUG